rnacentral:lncRNA from 13 species
CGUUCCAAGAGAGCAAACAAAAAGGACUGUCAUUCAGUCCAGGAACAGACUGAGAUUCCCUCUACUGAUGGACAUUGCAUAGAGCGUGAAAUGGGAGGAUCCCCCGGAUGACCAAAAUAAAGUUGUGGAGAACAUGAAGGAUGAAACAGAGACACAUGAGACCAACAAGAACAGGACAGGAGGCAAGGUAAGAAAUAUGCUGUCCUUUACACAUGCUCUGCCUACUUAGGCACAGAUCUAGGAUUAGUUUACUAUCACUAAAUCCUAGCCUUAAAGCAUUAGGANNNNNNNNNNAAUGUAAGUCUCUCCACAUAAGGUUCUGGUCAAAAGUUGUGCGCUAUAUAGGGAAUGGUGUCAUGGAAUUGCUUGAUUGACAAAAACAUUACUCUGUUUGUUGGCCAUAGCUCACAUUCGAGCAGCUCUCCAUGCUGUGUCUGAAGAUUGUUAAAGUCGUGACCCAGACAGCCCUCCGCAUUCUCCUACCAGCGCUAGCUCGUAUCAUGGGGGUGAACCUGAGGAGUGGGGCAACCUCCCCAGAAUCCCAGUGCUCUCUGACAGGGUCUGAGGAUUCCUUAGGCGGUCUGGAUGAGAGAGAGAAAAGGCUGCUGAUCAGUGAGAUGAACUACUGGACUAAGGAGAGGAGGAGGAAUGGCAGUGCAGGAUGCCGCCAAAAAUCCACUCGCAGAACCUCAUCACCAUGCUGUUCGCCUAAGAGGUCCCAGACCUCAUUGCAGAGCUUGCCUGCAACUAGAGAGGCUCCCCUCAUGGAGGAGCCUCUGAAGGCUCUUUUUGGGGUAACGGAAGAGAGCCUUCUGAUAUCCCUGGUUGAGGGUCACUCCAACCCCACCUCCUCCAGCUCCUCCGAGUUGAGCUGUGCUAUCGUGGGGGAGGUGGUACACCAGCUUAACUCUGGCCUCUCAGUGGCCAUUCAGGCCAGCCCGGGGAGUUGCCCCCCUAUGGACAGUCAGGACAUAGCAGCAGGCAAGGAGGUCAUUCGGGUAGCCUCGGUUCAGAUCCUGGCCGAGCUACAGAGCCAAACAUCUGAGCCAGAGUGGGUAGGGUUUAUCGAGCCCCUCAUGGACCCUGUGACUGAUGAUGUGCUGGAGGCCAUUGUCGGCACAAUGGACAAAAUGGCACAGGACUUCAACAUCCUAUUGGAUCUGGCCAAGAAGAUGACAAUCUUGGGGUCUAAAUUUCUGACCAAUCUUCAAUGUGACCUAGAUGUUGAGUGUCCAUCUGGGAAGGAAGGGACCACUCACUUUCUCAAAGAGACUGGAUCCUCUACCAGUGUGGUGGCCAGAAAGAUUCAGACCCUCUCUAGCCCCGACUUUCAGUCUAAAGCCCUGAAGGCGGUGAGCACCAUCCUUACAAGGAAAGUCAGCAGCUCUUCUGGCAUGGCUCCUUCCUCUAGGCCUUCUAGUGCUGCUCCUAGCCUUACUGAAGCCCCGCUGAAUACCAGCUGCACAGCCCUGACAUCUGUAACCUCCACUGCCACAGUGAUUGUUAAGGCAUUUGUGGGAGGCAUGGAGACGAUAGCAUCAUUUGAAGACACAUGUGAAGCAGUUGAUUGGCCAGUUCCUGUAAAUGACCACAAAACAGGGUCUUCACAGAAGAUAACCUUCUUUCUAGCCGGCACACUCUAUGGCCGUAUACGAGCAAAGCUGAGGGACCUUUUAACUCUAGCCGCUCGAGAAGAAGGUGUGGCAAAGGAUGCUUCUCUUCGGGAGUCUUCAGACACCCUGGAAAAGGCAACUGUUUCAACUGUUGAGGUCCAGUUACCCAGCACCGAACACAGUAGAGUUCCCAGAGAGAGCCAACCAAUACCAGCUCUCUGUCUCUCCAAUCUGGAUACCAGUACUCAAGAAGUUCUUAGCAGUGUUUUUUCCAUCUACAAGUCAGAGUUAUCAAAAGUGGAGAGUAAAUCCUUAGCCGUUGUCAGUUCAUCUGAUGAGUCCCUAGAGGCUUGUUGGUUUGUUGAUGGUGUCCUAUCAAAGCUUGAUGACUAUACUAUUUCCCAGUCACCCUCACCCAAUGAAGACUUGAGCGUGAGUACUCAAUAUUCUCAACUGAGCUCAGAAGAGAGUGUCAGAAUCACAGAGUCCUCAACUAGUCUGAUUCAGAGCAUUAA